AUUGCAAACCGCUCUGCCGCCUUUUCCUGCGGGAAUGGGAGGAAAGUCCGGACAACACAGAGCACCGCACCACCUAAGCGGUGGGACUCCGGCAACUGCCGGGGUACAGAAAGGGUCACAGAAAACAACCGCCCCGGCCCCGGUCGGGGCAAGGGUGAAAACGUGCGGUAAGAGCGCACGGCUUUCCGGUGCAAACCGGGACGCGGAUAAACCUUGCGGGUUGAAAUGCCAUGUACACCUUGCGUCCCUUCGGGGAGAUGUGUGGCUCGCGCAUCGGCCUUCGGGCCGGCAAGGGGGGUAGGCAGCGCAGAGUCCGGUUGCGAAAUCGGACCCAGAUAAAUGGCAGAGGCCACGCGCUCUUUUCGGAGGGUUCGGGGUACAGAAUCCGGCUUACAGGUUUGCAAUGUUU
rnacentral:RNase_P_RNA from 1 species